ACCUCUGUCACCAGCUGUGACCCACCUACCCUCCACCUCUGUCACCAGCUGUGACCCACCUACCCUCCACCUCUGUCACCAGCUGUGACCCACCUACCCUCCACCUCUGUCACCAGCUGUGACCCACCUACCCUCCACCUCUGUCACCAGCUGUGACCCACCUACCCUCCACCUCUGUGACCCCACCUGUGCCGGGCAACUUUGUCUGUCUCCACCAUGGCUGGUGGCAGCUACUUCCCCAUUGGUCUCUCCACCCCUCUCCCAUCUCCUUUUCUCCCCAGGGUGCAGCGGGGCCAUUUUGCCGUGCAGACAUGGUCCUGUUCUUCCCAGGGCCCUGUUCAUUCUUUGCUGAAGACUGCACAGCCCUGAGUGCCUGGCACGGCUGGCCCACAGCCUCGCUCUAUACCUGGCCCCUUGAGGAUGAAGCUUCAGCCACACUGGCCUUCUUCUGGGGCCAGGAGAGUGCCCCAUCCCUAACCUGGUGUGCCCCUCCCUUCACCUGGAGCACCCUUCACCUGGGGCACCCCUCACCUGGAGCACCCCUCCCUUCACCUGGAGCUCCCCUGCAGCACCCCUCCCCUGGAGCACCCCUUCCUGGAGCAUUUCCUCAUGUGGAGCACCCCUCCCUUAGAGCACCUCUCGCCUGGAGCACUCCUCUCCUGGCCCCUUGCCUGGAGCACUCCCUUGCCACCUGUACCUGGGUGACUACUUGCCUUUCAGACCUUGGCUAAUGUAUUCUCCCCUAGGUGCCCUCCCUCAGGAGGACAGGGCCACAGACCCGUGUCCUCACCUCCCCAGCACCAAGGACCUUCUUUUCUCAGCCUGUGUCUGCCUGGUGUCUGAUGGUGCAUUUGAUGAGCUAUUGGCUGACUGUGCCUGCUGAGGGCCAGGGUGCGGUCUUCUUCCCCACCACCCUGUCCCUGGGCACUGAGCCUCCAUCUCAGUACGUCACAGGUGCAUGGCAAAUUUGGCGAAUGAGGGAGACAGCGAUGCGUCAGCAGCAUGAAAGGUGACUGGCACCAGCAGUUUGGAUCGCCUCCUGUGGCGGGAGGCCCUUGUAGAGGAUACCUUUGGAGAACAGCUCACACCCCAGAGGGAAGUGGCUUGGACAAAGGGGGCUGCUCAGCAGACUUCGAUCUCCUCUGGGGGAUGUGGAUACCGCUCAGGCCCGCACCCCUCCAUUGGUCCUGGAGACUGAUAUGGGAGGCGGUAUGUGCCUUGGCUCCGGAGGGCACCUGGAGCACCCCUCACCUGGAGAACCCUCAUCCAGAGCACUCCUUUCCUGGAGCACCCCUCACCUGAAGCACCCUCAGUUGGAGCAUCCUCUCACCUAGAGAACCCUCACCUGGAGCACCCUGUUACCCGGGGCACCCUCACCUGGAAAACCCUCAUCUGGAGCACCUUCUCACCUGGAGAAC
rnacentral:lncRNA from 10 species